AAGUGGUACAUGAUCAGCAUUGUCCACAUUUACAAUCGAUGGAGGAACAAUGAAAUUCAGUGUUACGUUAAUGGACAACUGGUAUCUUAUGGUGAUAUGGCUUGGCAUGUUAACACAAAUGAUAGCUAUGACAAGUGCUUUCGUGGUUCAUCAGAAACUGCUGAUGCAAAUAGCGUAUUCUGUGCUAAACCUGUUGCCAUUCAGUGAAGCACUCAACCCAGCACAGAUAUUUGCAAUUCAUCAGUUAGGACCUAGAUAUAAGGUAACAUGCAGUGCUACUCUUUCGGCAUUCCUGGUUGAACUACUUAAAAGUUCAGUAGCCAUGCAAGAACAGGUGCUGGGUGGAAAAGGCUUUUUAGUUAUUGGCUAAUUACUUGAAAAG
rnacentral:lncRNA from 1 species